CAAGACAUAGUUUAUUUAAAAUACUGGCUUUGGGGGUCAGUGAAAAAGGUUUAAAUCCUUUUGUUUUGA
rnacentral:tRNA from 1 species